UAAGGUCUGACCUGCCCACUGAAUUAUUGAAGGGCCGCAGUAUUUUGACUGUGCAAAGGUAGCAUAAUCAUUAGUUUUUUAAUUAAAAGCUUGUAUGAAGGGUUGGACGAAGUAAAAUCUGUCUCUAUAAAAUUUAUUAUAGAAUUUAAUUUUUAAGUUAAAAAGCUUAAAUUUUUAUAAAAGACGAGAAGACCCUAUAGAGCUUUAUACAGAUUAUUUUAAUAUAAUUUAAGAAUAUUUUGAUUUUUAAUUAUAGUUUGUAUUUUAUUGGGGUAAUAAUUAGAUUGAAUUAAUUCUUUUUUAAUUAAUACAUUGAUUAAUGGUUAGUUGAUCCAAAAUUUUUGAUUAUAAGAUUAAGUUACCUUAGGGAUAACAGCGUAAUUUUUUUUGAGAGUUCAUAUCGAUAAAAAAGUUUGCGACCUCGAUGUUGGAUUAAAAAUUAUUCUGGGUGUAGAAGUUCAGAAUUUUGGUCUGUUCGACCAUUAAAUUUUU
rnacentral:rRNA from 1 species